rnacentral:rRNA from 1 species
AUUGAACGCUGGCGGCAGGCCUAACACAUGCAAGUCGAACGGUAACAGGAAGACGCUUGCUUCUUUGCUUACGAGUGGCGGACGGGUGAGUCAUGUCUGGGACACUGCCUGAUGGAGGGGGAUAACUACUGGAAACGGUAGCUAAUACCGCAUAACGUCGCAAGCCCAAAGAGGGGGACCUUCGGGCCUCUUGCCAUCUGCUUUGCCCAGAUGGGAUUAGCUAGUAGGUGGGGUAACGGCUCACCUAGGCGACGAUCCAUAGCUGGUCUGAGAGGAUGACCAGCCACACUGGAACUGAGACACGGUCCAGACUCCUACGGGAGGCAGCAGUGGGGAAUAUUGCACAAUGGGCGAAAGCCUGAUGCAGCCAUGCCGCGUGUAUGAAGAAGGCCUUCGGGUUGUAAAGUACUUUCAGCGGGGAGGAAGGGAGUAAAGUUAAUACCUGUGCUGAUUGACGUUACCCGCAGAAGAAGCACCGGCUAACUCCGUG